rnacentral:rRNA from 1 species
CAUAUGCUUGUCUCAAAGNNUAAGCCAUGCAUGUCUCAUUACAAGNCAAAUUANGGUGAAACCGCGANAGGCUCAUUAAAUCAGUUAUGGUUCCUUAGAUCGUACCCACAAUUACUUGGAUAACUGUGGUAAUUCUNGAGCUAAUACAUGCAAAUAGAGCUCGAACCGGAGACGGAAGGANUGCUUUUAUUANAUCANAACCAAUCGGUGGCGGGCUCGCGCUCGUCAUCGUCCAACUUGGUGACUCUGAAUAACUUUACNCUGAUCGCACGGUCUCGCACCGGCGACGCAUCUUUCAAAUGUCUGCCUUAUCNACUGUCNAUGGUAGGUUCUGCNCCUACCAUGGUUGUAACGGGUAACGGGGAAUCAGGGUUCGAUUCCGGAGAGGGAGCCUGAGAAACGGNUACCACAUCCAANGAAGGCAGCNGGCGCGCAAAUUACCCACUCCCNGCACGGGGANGUAGUGACGAAAAAUAACGAUACGGGANUCAUCCGAGGNCCCGUAAUCGGAAUGAGUACANUNUAAACCCUUUCGCAAGGAUCAAUUNNNNNNNNNNNNNNNNNNNNNNNNNNNNGGUAAUUCCAGCUCCAAUAGCGUAUAUUAAAGUUGUUGCGGUUAAAAAGCUCGUAGUCGAAUUUGUGUCUCGCGCCGCCGGUUCAUCGUUCGCGGUGUUAACUGGCGAGUCGCGAGACGUCCUGCCGGUGGGCUUAGCCCGCAAGGGCGGCCCAACUCAAUCCUGCCGCGGUGCUCUUNACUGAGUGUCGAGGUGGGCCGGCACGUUUACUUUGAACAAAUUAGAGUGCUUAAAGCAGGCUAAAACUUCGCCUGAAUACUGUGUGCAUGGAAUAAUGGAAUAGGACCUCGGUUCUAUUUUGUUGGUUUUCGGAACCCCGAGGUAAUGAUUAAUAGGAACGGAUGGGGGCAUUCGUAUUGCGACGUUAGAGGUGAAAUUCUUGGAUCGUCGCAAGACGGACAGAAGCGNAAGCAUUUGCCCAAAANGCUUUCAUUGAUNCAGGACGNAAGUUAGAGGUUCGNAGGCGAUCAGAUACCGCCCUAGUUCUAACCAUAAACGAUGUCAGCUAGCGAUCCGUCGACGUUCCUCCGAUGACUCGANGGGCAGCUUCCGGGAAACCAAAGCUUUUGGGUUCCGGGGGAAGUAUGGUUGCAAANCUGAAACUUAAAGGAAUUGACGGAAGGGCACCACCAGGAGUGGAGCCUGCGGCUUAAUUUGACUCAACACGGGAAACCUCACCAGGCCCGGACANNGGAAGGAUUGACANAUUGAGAGCUCUUUCUUGAUUCGGUGGGUGGUGGUGCAUGGCCGUUCUUANUUGGUGGANCNAUUUGUCUGGUUAAUUCCGAUAACGAACGAGACUCUAGCCUGCUAANUAGGCGUAUUUUGACAUCCUAAAGGCCCGCCGGCUUGGGGUUCGCCUCUUGUNNGNGNGCGGUUUUUACUGUCGGCGUACAAACAAUUNUUCUUAGAGGGACAGGCGGNUUCUAGCCGCACGAGAUUGAGCAAUAACAGGUCUGUGAUGCCCUUAGAUGUUNUGGGCCGCACGCGCGCUACACUGAAGGAAUCAGCGUGUCCUCCCUGGCCGAGUGGCCCGGGUAACCCGCUGAACCUCCUUCGUGCUAGGGAUUGGGGNUUGCAAUUGUUCCCCAUGAACGAGGAAUUCCCAGUAAGCGCGAGUCAUAAGCUCGCGUUGAUUACGUNCCUGCCCUUUGUACACACCGC